rnacentral:rRNA from 1 species
GGGGAAUAUUGCGCAAUGGGGGAAACCCUGACGCAGCAACGCCGCGUGAAGGAUGAAGGCUUUCGGGUUGUAAACUUCUUUGAUUGGGGAAGAAAAAAAUGACGGUACCCAAAAAACAAGCCACGGCUAACUACGUGCCAGCAGCCGCGGUAAUACGUAGGUGGCGAGCGUUAUCCGGAAUUACUGGGUGUAAAGGGCGUGUAGGCGGGAAAUUAAGUCAGAUGUGAAAUUCAUGGGCUCAACCCAUGAGCUGCAUCUGAAACUAGUUUUCUUGAGUGUUGGAGAGGAAAGCGGAAUUCCUAGUGUAGCGGUGAAAUGCGUAGAUAUUAGGAGGAACACCAGUGGCGAAGGCGGCUUUCUGGACAAUAACUGACGCUGAGGCGCGAAAGCGUGGGGAGCAAAC